rnacentral:lncRNA from 1 species
ACGAAGGCGGACGCAGCCAGCAAUAAACACAGAUCCUGGAAAUCGCCCCCGGCUUCUCCUCAAGCUUCCAUCUGUUGCGUCGGCAUCAUCAGUAGAUCCGACGGACUGCUGCUUCGGGAUCGGUCCAGGUACCGUACCUUCUCUGUCGUCGUCACGGUUCCGGUUGCCAGAAGCCCGAUCAUCGUCCCCAUUUCUUCUUGAAAAUCGUCUGUUUCGCUGUGAAAAUUGACCUGUACUCUCAAUUUCGUGCUCCAGAGACGGAGGAGCUGUGGGGGAGAUGCAGGCCAAGAAUCCCAGGGAAGCAACGAUUCGGCAGGGAAAGUGUACGGAAAGGUGAGGUUUUCGAGAGCUGUCGUUGGGAUUAACAUAUCCUUCAUCUUUUGCGAUUGUUCCGGAUUAUUAUAUCAGCAGCCUCCGUGGGGCGACUCGCCUCUCUCUCUCUCUCUCCUCCUCCUCCUCCUCCUCCCUCCGUCUCUCCCUCUCUCAAAAGUCAUGAGCCUCUGUUUUCGAUCGUCUCGACUCGUUAACUUUCUGAGAAACUGUUGGCUCUUUUCCUCAACUCGUUAUCAUAUUGAGUCGGAUCUUCUUCGUCUCCCAAAUCUGUACUGGUCAAUGAUAUGUCCCUUUGUUCCAAACACAUCGAGGCCACCGAGGAACUUCUCCUUUUCACGCGCUCCUCUCAUGCUCGCCACACGAUACGCCUGCGCACACACUCAGUUUUUUACUUGCUAGUCUGUCACACCACUUGUGAACAUCUGAGUUUAGUAGUCGCAAAAGAUUGAUAUUUACUCAAAAUGUAACUGGGUUUUAAUUUCCUCAAACUUUUGCAGAAGUUGGUGGUGAAAGUGGAACUACAUGAUGGCAGCCAAGAAAGAUGAUGGCAAGAAAAAAGAGGGAAAGAAGAACGAAGAUCAAGUCAACAAUCAGGUAAAAGCCUCUCAAGCAUACUAUCCUGGACAGCCCAGUGCUCUUCGGCACCUUGAUCUCCUUUUCUCACUCCUCCACUUCCAACCUACCCGAUGAUCAUUCUCCUAUCAAUCCUAAAUGUGCGAAAAAGAUUGACUAGCCCCUGACAUAAAUUUGGAAUCUCCGUUGAUUUUGUCGCCUAUACAAACGGAUCUCCAGUUUCCAGAAGUAGCGUUCGUCGGUUUAAGGAAAGUAGCUUGUGUUCAUAACGAUUAUCAAUCAGAAGCUUUCUUGCAAAACUUUCCUUAAGAUUGGCAAUUUAAUCAUCACUUUCUAUAUUUGAAAUCCUAGACAGAUUACUAGUUGUGUUGUUCAAAAUAGUGGCGCUUGCUUCUGAAUGUUUAUGUGGGCGUUGAUCUUCAGAUUCUGAUGUUGUUCCACUGUAGUGGACUCUGUAAAUAUUUCAAGGUUUUGACGAUCUCCGCGUAUAAGAUUUGCCGAUUUCCAUAUGGUCAAUAUCCAUGAUGUUGUUGAGAUGCNNNNNNNNNNNNNNNNNNNNNNNNNNNNNNNNNNNNNNNNNNNNNNNNNNNNNNNNNNNNNNNNNNNNNNNNNNNNNNNNNNNNNNNNNNNNNNNNNNNNCAGUUGAUUGAAUCUGAAACCACUUCUCUCAUGAGUAGUUCUGUAAAAAGAUACUGUUAUGCACGUAUCAGAUUCAAGACGAACCAAAGAAGAUUUUAUCAAUUUUCAAAAUUUUAUUAAUAGGUUUUCUCAAUAGUAAUUGUUAAUCGUAUAGCAUGAUGGUCUCUACUCGUGUGAAUAAUAAUUGUAGGAAUAUCAAAUGAUGCUUCAAAUUCUUAUUCAUUAUUGCUUACAUAUGGCCAAGUUGUUUAAACGCUAGUCUCUCACACCACAUCUGAUCAUCUGAGUUCAGUAGUCAUAAAAGAUUGAUAUUUACUCGAAAUCUAACUGGGUUUUGCUUUCCUCAAACUUUUGCAUAAGUUGGUGGUGAAAGUGGAUCUAGGUGAUGAGGAAGACAGGACAAAGGCCAAGCGAGUAGUUUGGCAUAUUGCAGGUAUUGGCCCUCUCCCUGUCUGUUUUUUCCCUUCAUUCUCCCACUGAAUGUUUAAAUCGUCACUGUGAUAGUAAUCAUCCUGUGCUCGAAAUGUUGGGCUUCGCUAACCUUUGUCACGUAAUGCUUUCCAGGAUUUGAGCGUCUGACUGUGGACAAAAAGCACAGUAAACUAACAGUAUCUGGCACUAUCGACCCGGUCAAGGUGGUGAACAAACUGACGAAACUGCACGCAGAAAUGGUGAGCUUCGGAGCAGCCAAGGAAGACGAUGGCAAGAAAGAAGGGGGAAAGAAGAACGAAGAUCAAGUCGCCAGUCAGGUAAAAGCCUCUCAAGCAUACUAUCCUGGACAGGCCAGUGCUCUUCGGCUCCUUGAUCUCCUUUUUUCACUCCUACUCUUCGAACCUACCCGAUGAUCAUUCUCCAAUCAAUCCUAAAUGUGCAAAAAAGAUUGACUAUUCCCGAAGAUAAAUUUGGAAUCUCCGUUGAUUUUGUCGCCUAUACAAACGGAUCUCCAGUUUCCAGAAGUAGCGUUCUUCGGUUUAAGGAAAGUAGCUUGUGUUCAUAACGAUUAUCAAUCAGAAGCUUUCUUGCAAAACUGUCCUUAAGAUUGGCAAUUUAAUCAUCACUUUCUAUAUUUCAAAUCCUAGACAGAUUACUAGUUGCGUUGUUCAAAAUAGUGUCGCUUGCAUCUGAAUGUUUAUGUGGGCGUUGAUCUUCGGAUUCUGAUGUUGUUUCACUGUAGUGGACUCUGUAAAUAUUUCAAGGUUUUGAAUAUCUCCACGUAUGAGAUUUGCCGAUAUCCAUAUGGUCAAUAUCCAUGAUGUUGUUGAGAUGCUAUCCAAAGAUAUUUGAACAACAACAGAAGGGUUCUGAAAAAUGUCAAGAUAUUCUCUUCUCUUCAUGGUCUCUAUAUUCAAAGAGCAGUUGAUUGAAUCUGAAACAACUUCUCUUCAUGAGUAGUUCCUGUAAAAAGAUACUGUUAUGCACGUAUCAGAUUCAAGACGAACCAAAGAAGAUUUUAUCAAUUUCAAAAUUUUAUUAAUAGGUUUUCUCAAUAGUAAUUGUUAAUCGUAUAGCAUGAUGGUCUCUACUCGUGUGAAUAAUAAUUGUAGGAAUAUCAAAUGAUGCUUCAAAUUCUUAUUCAUUAUUGAUUACAUAUGGCCAAGUUGUUUAAACGCUAGUCUGUCACACCACAUCUGAUCGUCUGAGUUCAGUAGUCAUAAAAGAUUGAUAUUUACUCGAAAUCUAACUGGGUUUUGCUUUCCUCAAACUUUUGCAGAAGUUGGUGGUGAAAAUGGAUAUAGGUGAUGAGGAAGCCAAGACAAAGGCCAAGCGAGUAGUUUGGCAUAUUGCAGGUAUUGGCCCUCUCCCUGUCUGUUUUUUCCCUUCAUUCUCCCACUGAAUGUUUAAAUCGUCACUGUGAUAGUAAUCAUCCUGUGCUCGAAAUGUUUGGCUUCGCUAACCUUUGUCACGUAAUGCUUUCCAGGAUUUGAGCGUCUGACUGUGGACACAGAGCUCAAUAAACUAACAGUAUCUGGCACUAUGGACCCGGUCAAGGUGGUGAACAAACUGACGAAACUGCACGCAGAAAUGGUGAGCUUCGGAGCAGCCAAGGAAGACGAUGGCAAGAAAGAAGGGGGAAAGAAGAACGAAGAUCAAGUCACCAGUCAGGUAAAAGCCUCUCAAGCAUACUAUCCUGGACAGGCCAGUGCUCUUCGGCUCCUUGAUCUCCUUUUUUCACUCCUACACUUCGAACCUACCCGAUGAUCAUUCUCCAAUCAAUCCUAAAUGUGCAAAAAAGAUUGACUAUUCCCGAAGAUAAAUUUGGAAUCUCCGUUGAUUUUGUCGCCUAUACAAACGGAUCUCCAGUUUCCAGAAGUAGCGUUCUUCGGUUUAAGGAAAGUAGCUUGUGUUCAUAACGAUUAUCAAUCAGAAGCUUUCUUGCAAAACUGUCCUUAAGAUUGGCAAUUUAAUCAUCACUUUCUAUAUUUCANNNNNNNNNNNNNNNNNNNNNNNNNNNNNNNNNNNNNNNNNNNNNNNNNNNNNNNNNNNNNNNNNNNNNNNNNNNNNNNNNNNNNNNNNNNNNNNNNNNNNNNNNNNNNNNNNNNNNNNNNNNNNNNNNNNNNNNNNNNNNNNNNNNAGAUUUGCCCCAUCCAAUGCAAUAUCCAUGAUGUUGUUGAGAUGCUAUCCAAAGAUAUUUGAACAACAACAGAAGGGUUCUGAAAAAUGUCAAGAUAUUCUCUUCUCUUCAUGGUCUCUAUAUUCAAAGAGCAGUUGAUUGAAUCUGAAACAACUUCUCUUCAUGAGUAGUUCCUGUAAAAAGAUACUGUUAUGCACGUAUCAGAUUCAAGACGAACCAAAGAAGAUUUUAUCAAUUUCAAAAUUUUAUUAAUAGGUUUUCUCAAUAGUAAUUGUUAAUCGUAUAGCAUGAUGGUCUCUACUCGUGUGAAUAAUAAUUGUAGGAAUAUCAAAUGAUGCUUCAAAUUCUUAUUCAUUAUUGAUUACAUAUGGCCAAGUUGUUUAAACGCUAGUCUGUCACACCACAUCUGAUCGUCUGAGUUCAGUAGUCAUAAAAGAUUGAUAUUUACUCGAAAUCUAACUGGGUUUUGCUUUCCUCAAACUUUUGCAUAAGUUGGUGGUGAAAGUGGAUCUAGGUGAUGAGGAAGACAGGACAAAGGCCAAGCGAGUAGUUUGGCAUAUUGCAGGUAUUGGCCCUCUCCCUGUCUGUUUUUUCCCUUCAUUCUCCCACUGAAUGUUUAAAUCGUCACUGUGAUAGUAAUCAUCAUGUGCUCGAAAUGUUGGGCUUCGCUAACCUUUGUCACGUAAUGCUUUCCAGGAUUUGAGCGUCUGACUGUGGACAAAAAGCACAGUAAACUAACAGUAUCUGGCACUAUGGACCCGGUCAAGGUGGUGAACAAACUGACGAAACUGCACGCAGAAAUGGUGAGCUUCGGAGCAGCCAAAGAAGACGAUGGCAAGAAAGAAGGGGGAAAGAAGAACGAAGAUCAAGUCGCCAGUCAGGUAAAAGCCUCUCAAGCAUACUAUCCUGGACAGGCCAGUGCUCUUCGGCUCCUUGAUCUCCUUUUUUCACUCCUACUCUUCGAACCUACCCGAUGAUCAUUCUCCAAUCAAUCCUAAAUGUACAAAAAAGAUUGACUAUUCCCGAAGAUAAAUUUGGAAUCUCCGUUGAUUUUGUCGCCUAUACAAACGGAUCUCCAGUUUCCAGAAGUAACGUUCUUCAAUUUAAGGAAAGUAGCUUGUGUUCAUAACGAUUAUCAAUCAGAAGCUUUCUUGCAAAACUGUCCUUAAGAUUGGCAAUUUAAUCAUCACUUUCUAUAUUUGAAAUCCUAGACAGAUUACUAGUUGUGUUGUUCAAAAUAGUGGCGCUUGCGUCUGAAUGUUUAUGUGGGAGUUGAUCUUCAGAUUCUCAUGUUGUUCCACUGUAGUGGACUCUGUAAAUAUUUCAAGGUUUUGACGAUCUCCGCGUAUCAGAUUUGCCGAUAUCCAUAUGGUCAAUAUCCAUGAUGUUGUUGAGAUGCUAUACAAAGAUAUUUGAACAACAACAGAAGGGUUCUGAAAAAUGUCAAGAUAUUGACUUCUCUUCAUGGUCUCUAUAUUCAAAGAGCAGUUGAUUGAAUCUGAAACAACUUCUCUUCAUGAGUAGUUCCUGUAAAAAGAUACUCAUAUGCACGUAUCAGAUUCAAGACGAACCAAAGAAGAUUUUAUCAAUUUCAAAAUUUUAUUGAUAGGUUUUCUCAAUAGUAAUUGUUAAUCGUAUAGCAUGAUGGUCUCUACUCGUGUGAAUAAUAAUUGUAGGAAUAUCAAAUGAUGCUUCAAAUUCUUAUCCAUUAUUGAUUACAUAUGGCCAAGUUGUUUAAACGCUAGUCUGUCACCCCACAUGUGAUCGUCUGAGUUCAGUAGUCGUAAAAGAUUGAUAUUUACUCGAAAUCUAACUGGGUUUUGCUUUCCUCAAACUUUUGCAGAAGUUGGUGGUGAAAAUGGAUAUAGGUGAUGAGGAAGCCAAGACAAAGGCCAAGCGAGUAGUUUGGCAUAUUGCAGUAUUGGCCCUCUCCCUGUCUGUUUUUUCCCUUCAUUCUCCACUGAAUGUUUAAAUCGUCACUGUGAUAGUAAUCAUCCUGUGCUCGAAAUGUUUGGCUUCGCUAACCUUUGUCACGUAAUGCUUUCCAGGAUUUGAGCGUCUGACUGUGGACACAGAGCUCAAUAAACUAACAGUAUCUGGCACUAUGGACCCGGUCAAGGUGGUGAACAAACUGACGAAACUGCACGCAGAAAUGGUGAGCUUCGGAGCAGCCAAGGAAGACGAUGGCAAGAAAGAAGGGGGAAAGAAGAACGAAGAUCAAGUCGCCAGUCAGGUAAAAGCCUCUCAAGCAUACUAUCCUGGACAGGCCAGUGCUCUUCGGCUCCUUGAUCUCCUUUUUUCACUCCUACACUUCGAACCUACCCGAUGAUCAUUCUCCAAUCAAUCCUAAAUGUGCAAAAAAGAUUGACUAUUCCCGAAGAUAAAUUUGGAAUCUCCGUUGAUUUUGUCGCCUAUACAAACGGAUCUCCAGUUUCCAGAAGUAGCGUUCUUCGGUUUAAGGAAAGUAGCUUGUGUUCAUAACGAUUAUCAAUCAGAAGCUUUCUUGCAAAACUGUCCUUAAGAUUGGCAAUUUAAUCAUCACUUUCUAUAUUUCAAAUCCUAGACAGAUUACUAGUUGCGUUGUUCAAAAUAGUGUCGCUUGCAUCUGAAUGUUUAUGUGGGCGUUGAUCUUCGGAUUCUGAUGUUGUUUCACUGUAGUGGACUCUGUAAAUAUUUCAAGGUUUUGAAUAUCUCCACGUAUGAGAUUUGCCGAUAUCCAUAUGGUCAAUAUCCAUGAUGUUGUUGAGAUGCUAUCCAAAGAUAUUGGAACAACAACAGAAGGGUUCUGAAAAAUGUCAAGAUAUUGACUUCUCUUCAUGGUCUCCAUAUUCAAAGAGCAGUUGAUUGAAUCUGAAACAACUUCUCUUCAUGAGUAGUUCCUGUAAGAUGAUACCGUUAUGCACGUAUCAGAUUCAAGACGAACCAAAGAAGAUUUUAUCAAUUUCAAAAUUUUAUUAAUAGGUUUUCUCAAUAGUAAUUGUUAAUCGUAUAGCAUGAUGGUCUCUACUCGUGUGAAUAAUAAUUGUAGGAAUAUCAAAUGAUGCUUCAAAUUCUUAUUCAUUAUUGCUUACAUAUGGCCAAGUUGUUUAAACGCUAGUCUCUCACACCACAUCUGAUCAUCUGAGUUCAGUAGUCAUAAAAGAUUGAUAUUUACUCGAAAUCUAACUGGGUUUUGCUUUCCUCAAACUUUUGCAUAAGUUGGUGGUGAAAGUGGAUCUAGGUGAUGAGGAAGACAGGACAAAGGCCAAGCGAGUAGUUUGGCAUAUUGCAGGUAUUGGCCCUCUCCCUGUCUGUUUUUUCCCUUCAUUCUCCCACUGAAUGUUUAAAUCGUCACUGUGAUAGUAAUCAUCCUGUGCUCGAAAUGUUGGGCUUCGCUAACCUUUGUCACGUAAUGCUUUCCAGGAUUUGAGCGUCUGACUGUGGACAAAAAGCACAGUAAACUAACAGUAUCUGGCACUAUGGACCCGGUCAAGGUGGUGAACAAACUGACGAAACUGCACGCAGAAAUGGUGAGCUUCGGAGCAGCCAAAGAAGACGAUGGCAAGAAAGAAGGGGGAAAGAAGAACGAAGAUCAAGUCGCCAGUCAGGUAAAAGCCUCUCAAGCAUACUAUCCUGGACAGGCCAGUGCUCUUCGGCUCCUUGAUCUCCUUUUUUCACUCCUACUCUUCGAACCUACCCGAUGAUCAUUCUCCAAUCAAUCCUAAAUGUGCAAAAAAGAUUGACUAUUCCCGAAGAUAAAUUUGGAAUCUCCGUUGAUUUUGUCGCCUAUACAAACGGAUCUCCAGUUUCCAGAAGUAGCGUUCUUCAAUUUAAGGAAAGUAGCUUGUGUUCAUAACGAUUAUCAAUCAGAAGCUUUCUUGCAAAACUGUCCUUCAGAUUGGCAAUUUAAUCAUCACUUUCUAUAUUUGAAAUCCUAGACAGAUUACUAGUUGUGUUGUUCAAAAUAGUGGCGCUUGCGUCUGAAUGUUUAUGUGGGCGUUGAUCUUCAGAUUCUGAUGUUGUUCCACUGUAGUGGACUCUGUAAAUAUUUCAAGGUUUUGACGAUCUCCGCAUAUCAGAUUUGCCGAUAUCCAUAUGGUCAAUAUCCAUGAUGUUGUUGAGAUGCUAUACAAAGAUAUUUGAACAACAACAGAAGGGUUCUGAAAAAUGUCAAGAUAUUGACUUCUCUUCAUGGUCUCUAUAUUCAAAGAGCAGUUGAUUGAAUCUGAAACAACUUCUCUUCAUGAGUAGUUCCUGUAAGAAGAUACUGUUAUGCACGUAUCAGAUUCAAGACGAACCAAAGAAGAUUUUAUCAAUUUCAAAAUUUUAUUGAUAGGUUUUCUCAAUAGUAAUUGUUAAUCGUAUAGCAUGAUGGUCUCUACUCGAGUGAAUAAUAAUUGUAGGAAUAUCAAAUGAUGCUUCAAAUUCUUAUCCAUUAUUGAUUACAUAUGGCCAAGUUGUUUAAACGCUAGUCUGUCACCCCACAUGUGAUCGUCUGAGUUCAGUAGUCGUAAAAGAUUGAUAUUUACUCGAAAUCUAACUGGGUUUUGCUUUCCUCAAACUUUUGCAGAAGUUGGUGGUGAAAAUGGAUAUAGGUGAUGAGGAAGCCAAGACAAAGGCCAAGCGAGUAGUUUGGCAUAUUGCAGGUAUUGGCCCUCUCCCUGUCUGUUUUUUCCCUUCAUUCUCCCACUGGAUGUUUAA